rnacentral:rRNA from 1 species
UGGGGAAUUUUGGACAAUGGGGGCAACCCUGAUCCAGCAAUGCCGCGUGAGUGAAGAAGGCCUUCGGGUUGUAAAGCUCUUUUGUUGGGGAAGAAAGCGUGGGCUCUAAGAUAGCCUAUGGAUGACGGUACCCAAAGAAUAAGCACCGGCUAACUACGUGCCAGCAGCCGCGGUAAUACGUAGGGUGCGAGCGUUAAUCGGAAUUACUGGGCGUAAAGGGUGCGCAGGCGGUUCAUUAAGUCAGCUGUGAAAUACCUGGGCUUAACCUAGGGAGUGCAGUUGAGACUGGAGAGCUAGAGUGUGUCAGAGGCGGGUGGAAUUCCACGUGUAGCAGUGAAAUGCGUAGAGAUGUGGAGGAAGGUCGAAGGCGAAGGCAGCCCGCUGGGAUAACACUGACGCUCAGGCACGAAAGCGUGGGGAGCAAA